GACGGAGGGUGCAAGCGUUGUUCGGAAUUACUGGGCGUAAAGGGCGCGUAGGCGGUCUGUUAAGUUCGGUGUGAAAGCCCUCGGCUUACCCGGGGAACUGCGCCGGAAACCGACAGACUCGAGUACCGGAGAGGAGGGUGGAAUUCCUGGUGUAGCGGUGAAAUGCGUAGAUAUCAGGAGGAACACCAGUGGCGAAGGCGGCACUCUGGGCCGGUACUGACGCUGAGGAGCGAAAGCGUGGGGAGCGAACAGG
rnacentral:rRNA from 1 species